rnacentral:tmRNA from 1 species
GGGGGUGUAAUGGUUUCGACAGAUAUAAGCUCCUUUAAAAUGCAGUGGUUUUGCAGACCAUAAUGCUUCUAGGCUUUCAAUAAACGGAAAGAAUACAAACAAAAACAUAGAAGUUUCUCCUUUUAUGUUAAACCAAUCACAAAAUCUAUUAUUUGCUUAAUAAAUACUAGUCGCUUUACUAAUUCUCGGUAGUAAAUGUCGUUAUAUGAGAUUAGAUUAUGCUUUUGUAAUAGCGGUAUAAUUGAAAUAAAUAUUACUUCUAAUAAAAAAUUUUGUUUAUUUUAUAUUUAUUAGAAUAUUAAAAAUAUACUAAACUGUAGAUUUUUAAAGCAAGUUUAUGUGUGGACCGGGGUUCAACUCCCCGCAUCUCCACCA